rnacentral:rRNA from 1 species
UACGGGGGGAGCAAGCGUUGUUCGGACUUACUGGGCGUAAAGGGCGCGUAGGCGGCGUGACAAGUCACUUGUGAAAUCUCCGGGCUUAACCCGGAGCGGUCAAGUGAUACUGUCGUGCUAGAGUGCGGAAGGGGCUACUGGAAUUCUCGGUGUAGCGGUGAAAUGCGUAGAUAUCGAGAGGAACACCUGCGGCGAAGGCGGGUAGCUGGGCCGACACUGACGCUGAUGCGCGAAAGCCAGGGGAGCGAACGGG